UACGAAGGGGGCUAGCGUUGCUCGGAAUCACUGGGCGUAAAGCGCACGUAGGCGGAUUCUUAAGUCAGGGGUGAAAUCCCGGAGCUCAACUCCGGAACUGCCUUUGAUACUGAGAGUCUCGAGUUCGGGAGAGGUGAGUGGAACUGCGAGUGUAGAGGUGAAAUUCGUAGAUAUUGGGAAGAACACCGGUGGCGAAGGCGGCUCACUGGCUCAUUACUGACGCUCAGGCGCGAUAGCGUGGGGAUCAAACAGG
rnacentral:rRNA from 1 species